GACGAACGCUGGCGGCGUGCCUAAUACAUGCAAGUAGAACGCACAGUUUAUACCGUAGCUUGCUACACCAUAGACUGUGAGUUGCGAACGGGUGAGUAACGCGUAGGUAACCUGCCUGGUAGCGGGGGGUAACGAUAGGUAACGAUAGCUAAUAUCGCAUAUUAUUAAUUAUUGCAUGAUAAUUAAUUCAUAGGUGCAUUUGAACCACUACCAGAUGGUCCUGCGUUGUAUUAGCUAGUAGGUGAGGUAACGGCUCACCUAGGCGACGAUACAUAGCCGACCUGAGAGGGUGAUCGGCCACACUGGGACUGAGACACGGCCCAGACUCCUACGGGAGGCAGCAGUAGGGAAUCUUCGGCAAUGGACGAAAGUCUGACCGAGCAACGCCGCGUGAGUGAAGAAGGUUUUCGGAUCGUAAAGCUCUGUUGUAAGAGAAGAACGGGUGUGAGAGUGGAAAGUUCACACUGUGACGGUAUCUUACCAGAAAGGGACGGCUAACUACGUG
rnacentral:rRNA from 1 species